rnacentral:rRNA from 2 species
AAAUUGAAGAGUUUGAUCAUGGCUCAGAUUGAACGCUGGCGGCAGGCCUAACACAUGCAAGUCGAACGGUAACAGGAAGCAGCUUGCUGCUUUGCUGACGAGUGGCGGACGGGUGAGUAAUGUCUGGGAAACUGCCUGAUGGAGGGGGAUAACUACUGGAAACGGUAGCUAAUACCGCAUAAUGUCGCAAGACCAAAGAGGGGGACCUUCGGGCCUCUUGCCAUCGGAUGUGCCCAGAUGGGAUUAGCUAGUAGGUGGGGUAACGGCUCACCUAGGCGACGAUCCCUAGCUGGUCUGAGAGGAUGACCAG